rnacentral:misc_RNA from 1 species
UUACAAAAGAAAUUUCAAAGUCAAGUAAUUUGUUGGAAAUCUACAUUUUUAUAUCUAAUAUACAAAUAUUAAUGAUUGCUAAGAUAAUCUCUGUGAGGUACAACAUUGUUAUUUUAAGUUAUGGAAGGAUCUGAAAAUCGUGGAGAACAACUUGCUUAGCCGUGUUAUUACAAAAUUUUCCCAGUGUGGACAUAGUUUAUAAAAUUGUCUGGUGCCUGCAUAAUAAAAAUUACAUGACCUUAAAUCACGAGUAAUAAUAAUGCGAGUUUAGCUAAUGAAGACCGAAAAGUUGAACUUGGAUGCGAUUUGGUCUGAUUUCGCAAACUUAUAAGCAAUUGCGUAUUAUAAUACGUUGGCCUUCAAACGCAAAUUAUAGAACAGCUAUUCUCCAAUAGAUACACAGCUCUCGAGAGCAUCUAUGGAACAAAAUUCACAAAUGUGGAC